rnacentral:rRNA from 1 species
UACGGGGGGGGCAAGCGUUGUUCGGAAUUACUGGGCGUAAAGGGCGCGAUAGGCGGCCUGGCAAGUGACGGGUGAAAGCCCUCGGCUCAACCGAGGAACUGCCUGUCAUACUGCCGGGCUGAGUCCGGGAGAGGUGAGUGGAAUUCCCAGUGUAGCGGUGAAAUGCGUAGAUAUCGGAAGGAACACCAGUGGCGAAAGCGGCUUCCUGGUCCAGCACCGACGUCAGGCACGAAAGCGUGGGGAGCAAACAGG